GGAAUCCAGAGCAUGACAGAAGCCAUUGUUCCGGCUAUCCCCAAAGAAGUUUUCCCAGCAGUUCCCUAGAGCUCAUGAGCUAGGAGUCUUUAUCGGUGGCCCCUGACAAUCCUCCAGGCUGAGAGGAACACACCAUCAAGGGAACCUUAGAAUGAACGACAUAGUUUUCACUCUAGAGUUUAGCUUUACUCACUGCCAACCAGUGAUUCUGCUGUCUUCACAAGGUCCCAAGAUAAAGAACGCCAUUCAGGAAUCGUGCAGGCAUAGCUGGACUGGAUGGACUUAUGUCAAAUGACUACAGUCAAGAUCCUGGUGCUUAGAGUGGGCAAAACCUGGAUCUCACUCCAUUGUUAAGACUGGAGGAAAAAUAUGGCUUCCCUGGUAGCUGAUGGGUCCGGAAUUGGUGGGUUCUUGGUCUCACUGACUUCAAGAAUGAAGCCACGGACCCUCGCGGUGAGUGUUACAGCUCUUAAGGUGGCGCGUCUGGAGUUUGUUCCUUCUGACGUUCGGAUGUGUUGGGAGUUUCUUCCUUCUGGUGGGUUGGUGGUCUCACUGGCUCAGGAGUGAAGCUGCAGACCUUCGCGGGGAGUGUUACAGUUCUUAAGGCGGCGCAUCUGGAGUUGUUCGUUUCUCCCGGUGGGCUAGUGGUCUCACUGGCUUCAGGAGUGAAGCUGCAGACCUUCGUGGUGUUACAUCUCUUAAGGCAGCGCAUCUGGAGUUGUUCGUUCCUCCUGGUGGGCUUGUGGUCUCGCUGGCUUCAGGAGUGAAGCUGCAGACCUUCGCGGUGAGUGUUACAGCUCAUAAAAGCAGUGUGGACCCAAAGAGUGAGCAGUAGCAAGGUUUAUUGCAAAGAGCGAAAGAUCAAAGCUUCCAUAGUGUGGAAGGGGACCUGAGCGGGUUGCCACUGCUGGCUCGCGCAGCCUGCUUUUAUUCUCUUACCUGGCUCCACCCACAUCCUGCUGAUUGGUAGAGCCCAGUGGUCUGUUUUGACAGGGCGCUGAUUGGUGCGUUUACAAUCCCUGAGCUAGACACAAAGAUUCUCCAAGGCCCCACCAGAGCAGCUAGAUACAGAGUGUCCAUUGGUGCAUUCGCAAACCCUGAGC
rnacentral:lncRNA from 1 species